rnacentral:lncRNA from 1 species
UGCAGACACACGCAGCAUCUUCUUGCGCUCCUCCUUGAGGUGGAUGGGCAGCUAGCUGGAGAUGACACAGGAUGAUGCGCAUCUUUCGCACGCUGGCUCCAAGAUCUCCGCUGCCAGUGACUUCAACAGAAGUGGAGUAAAUAAAGAUGAUCACAGAACUUGGAAGCUGACGAAAUUAAUUUUGGAAAAGAGCUGGCUUGGAGCAUGACAGAAGAAUUCGAUGGAAAGAGUGCUGGGAGCCCAACUCAAGACUGAUGUGUGCUUGGCAGGCAGUCUACCCCCGAUCUCAGUCCUCCAGCCUUUCGGCCUUUUUUCCUUUUUGGAGACAGAAUUGCAUCAUAUGGCAUCCUACACAGUCCUGCCUCAGUCUCUGCAGUGCUGGGAUUGUAGGCCUAUGCCACCUAGCCUUUCUACAAUACAAACAAAUAUGAAAAGAAGAGGGACUUCUUUGGAAAGGAGUACAGGGACUAUGGAAGAGAUGAAAAGAUAAUAUUGUCAGAAAUUAUGCCGCUUUUGAAGAGAUAAACUGAACUCUUGAUUCUGUGAGGUUAUUAAAGAAUAUUAAUUUUCAAAUCACGGUAAAAUCUUGAUUCAGCAACACAUGAGGAUAAUCAUUGUGUCCAUGGAAACCUUGGGAAGCAGUUGAAAGCCUGGUCCCUCUUGCCUGGAGCAUUAACACAACGUGGCUGCAAAGUUAGUCCUUUCCCGCUACCAUCUCCUGAAUACUGGGACUAACUACACGUAUGCACGAACCUGCCCAUCUUUGCCUCUGUUAACAGCUGCCACUGUCUCUUCACGACAUGAUGGCUGACCUAGGUUGGAAGGAACAGAGCCAGUUGGCCAUGGACUGAAACUUUUGGAACUGAUUCUGAGGAGUUAAUGUUUCCAUGAAUAUCUCAGAAGGAGAUGUGGACAAACGAACAGUUAUCUCACUCCUGUAGCUAUCUUUCUUAUCCAGCCCAGGCCCUCCCACCGAGAAGUGGCACUAACCACCACAGGUCAAUAUAAUGGAGACAGUUCUUCAAUUGAUGUUCCCCCUUCCCAGGUAUGAUACAAAGCAAAAUAAGCUGUCA